UACAGAGGGGGCUAGCGUUAUUCGGAAUUAUUGGGCGUAAAGAGCUCGUAGGCGGUGUGUCGCGUCGGCCGUGAAAACCUGCAGCUUAACUGUGGGCUUGCGGUCGAUACGGGCAUCACUGGAGUUCGGCAGGGGAGACUGGAAUUCCUGGUGUAGCGGUGAAAUGCGCAGAUAUCAGGAGGAACACCGGUGGCGAAGGCGGGUCUCUGGGCCGAUACUGACGCUGAGGAGCGAAAGCGUGGGGAGCGAACAGG
rnacentral:rRNA from 1 species